CUCUGGUUCAGGAAAUGAGUCAGGGCGGAAGGAG
rnacentral:ncRNA from 1 species